rnacentral:rRNA from 1 species
GAGUUUGAUCCUGGCUCAGGAUGAACGCUGGCGGCGUGCCUAAUACAUGCAAGUCGAACGAAUCUUCUUCGGAAGAUGAGUGGCGAACGGGUGAGUAAUACAUAGGUAACCUGCCCCUGUGCGGGGGAUAACAGGAGGAAACUCCUGCUAAUACCGCAUAGCCAUGAGCACCGCAUGGAGCUCAUGCCAAAUAUCCUUUCGGGGAUAGCGCAGGGAUGGACCUAUGGCGCAUUAGCUGGUUGGCGGGGCAACGGCCCACCAAGGCAACGAUGCGUAGCCGGCCUGAGAGGGCGGACGGCCACAUUGGGACUGAGACACGGCCCAGACUCCUACGGGAGGCAGCAGUAGGGAAUUUUCGGCAAUGGGGGAAACCCUGACCGAGCAACGCCGCGUGAGCGAAGAAGGCCUUCGGGUCGUAAAGCUCUGUUGUAAAGGAAGAACGGCGCAUACAGGAAAUGGUAUGCGAGUGACGGUACUUUACCAGAAAGCCACGGCUAACUACGUGCCAGCAGCCGCGGUAAUACGUAGGUGGCGAGCGUUAUCCGGAAUCAUUGGGCGUAAAGAGGGAGCAGGCGGCCGCAAGGGUCUGUGGUGAAAGACCGAAGCUAAACUUCGGUAAGCCAUGGAAACCGGGCGGCUAGAGUGCGGAAGAGGAUCGUGGAAUUCCAUGUGUAGCGGUGAAAUGCGUAGAUAUAUGGAGGAACACCAGUGGCGAAGGCGACGGUCUGGGCCGCAACUGACGCUCAUUCCCGAAAGCGUGGGGAGCAAAUAGGAUUAGAUACCCUAGUAGUCCACGCCGUAAACGAUGGUCACUAAGUGUCGGGGGUCAAACCCCGGUGCUGCAGUCAACGCAAUAAGUGACCCGCCUGAGUAGUACGUUCGCAAGAAUGAAACUCAAAGGAAUUGACGGGGGCC